UCGUACUGGGGGAAAAUGAUACUUCUAUUAGUUACAUAUUCUCCAAUCGCACACUCGCACCCCCCUCGUUUUGAGAUCGCUCCCCUAGGCAGGCUCAGGCGGGCGCGGAGCGGCGCGGAGUGACAAAGCCGCCGCUGCUGCCGCCGGCGGUGGGAGCUGCGCUUGCCCGCCCGCCCCUAGACUCGGGAGAGCGUAAAAGUUUGUCUCAGCUCCAGCACCCUGAGCCUCAACACGCCCUCAGAGUUGCUGUGUAUCUCGCCACUGGUACACUGAAUAGUAUCUUCCUUCAGACGGGGAUUGAGAAACGGAAAUACCACCACCCUCGAGCCAAACUUGUGAGGACUGAUUGCAGGGGAACUGGUGCUCCAGAUGUUGCACUAGAGGCGCUGCGAGUGUGAGCAGGUGGCAGUAGACCUGCAUCGCAGGUUGUAGCAGAUGUUCUCAACAUUUCUCUUGAAAUUUCCUCAUCUCCGUUUGCAAGAGGAGCCCCAGAGCCUCAUCCCUGUGGUAGCUACCAUGUUCCGGUAUAAGCUGUUAUUCACCAGGGAGCUUUGGCAAGAGAAUGGCUGUAUCAGGAAGUCCAUCUCCACUGUGGAAAAACAACUUGAAGCUUGUCUUUAUUGACGGGAACAAUAUGACCUCUAACCUGGAGGGAUACACCAUUUCUAGUCUGAGACACGCAGAAAUACCGUGGAGAAUUGACUCCUAACAGCAAGGUGUACUGUCUGUAGGAUGGAGAUAGACUGAAUACCCGCUUCUCUGAAUACCGGCUUCAGAUCACUUUUCACAUUUUCUUUUUGGAAAGGCAACUGUUGGAGAAUCAUCUUGUUACCGUCAGCAAAAAUGGAAACAAAUCAAGACAUUAAGAAUGCCACGGUGAAGGACUUCCCUGGUGGCCCAGUGGUUAAGAAUCCACCUGCCAAUGCAGGGAACACGGUUUAAUCCCUGGUCCGGGAGAUCCCACAUGCCACGGAGCAACUAAGCCCAUGCGCCACGACUACUGAGCCUGCAUGCCUAGAGCCCAUGCUCCGCAACAAGAGAAGCCACCGCAAUGAGAAGCCCGCGCACCUCAAUGAAGAGUAGCCCUGCUCGCCACAACUAGAGAAAGCCCAUGUGCAGCAACGAAGACCCAAUGUAGCCAUAAAUAAAUAAAUAAAUAGAUAAAUAGAUAGAUAGAUAGAUAGAUAGAUAGAUAGAUAGAUAGAUAGAUAGAAUGCCGCACUGAAUGACCAACAGUUAAUGAUGCCAGUGUUAUGCAAGCUUCAGCAAAGGAAUUUUUCAAGACAGUGUGCCUCACCAGCCAGAAAUCAGGAAAGGUUGAACCUCUCCUUUUAGUCUCAGCUCUUUCUUAAAUCAAUGCAACCCCUCCAAAUUAAAGUGAAUUGAAACAUG